AGAGUUUGAUUCUGGCUCAGGAUGAACGCUAGCGACAGGCUAACACAUGCAAGUCGAGGGGCAGCAUAGAAGUAGCAAUACUCGGUGGCGACCGGCGCACGGGUGAGUAACGCGUAUGCAACCUACCUAUCAGGAGGGGAAUAACCCGGCGAAAGUCGGACUAAUACCGCAUAAAACAGGGGCACCGCAUGGUGAUAUUUGUUAAAGAAAUUCGCUGAUAGAUGGGCAUGCGUUCCAUUAGGUAGUUGGUGAGGUAACGGCUCACCGAGCCGACGAUGGAUAGGGGAACUGAGAGGUUGGUCCCCCACACUGGUACUGAGACACGGACCAGACUCCUACGGGAGGCAGCAGUGAGGAAUAUUGGUCAAUGGGCGGGAGCCUGAACCAGCCAAGUCGCGUGAAGGAAGAAGGAUCUAUGGUUCGUAAACUUCUUUUGCAGGGGAAUAAAGUGCAGGACGUGUCCUGUUUUGUAUGUACCCUGAGAAUAAGGAUCGGCUAACUCCGUGCCAGCCGCCGC
rnacentral:rRNA from 1 species